rnacentral:rRNA from 1 species
GAGGUGUGGCGCAGCUACCUGCAGUCGAGCGGUACAUAUAUACUUGCUACUUUGCUGACGAGCGGCGGACGGGAGAGUAAUGCUUGAGAACAUGCCUUGAGGUGGGGGACAACAGGUGGAAACCAGUGCUAAUACCGCAUAGUGUCUACGGACCAAAGGGGGCUUCCGCUCUCCCCUUUAUAUUGCCCCAAGUGGGAUUAUCUAUUUGGUGAGGUAGUGGCUCCCCAGGGCCACUAUCCCUAUGUGGUUUGAGAGGAUGAUCCCCCACUCUGGCACUGACACACGCCCCACACUCCUACGGGAGGCAGCAGUGGGGAAUAUUGCACAGUGGGCGCAAGCCUGAUGCACCCGUGCCGCGUGUGUGAAAAGCGCCUUCGGGUUGUAAAGCUCUUUCACUCGAGAAGAAAGGUUAAUAUUUAAUACCUGCUAUCUGUGACGUUACUGACAAAAAAAGCCCCGUCUAUCUCCGUGCCAACACCCGCGGUAAUACAGAGGGUGCGAGCGUUACUCAAAAUUACUGGGCGUAAAGCAUACACACGCGGUGUGUUAAGCGAUAUGUGAAACCCCCGGUCUCAACCUGAAAACUGCAUUUCAAACUGGCAAACUAGAGUGAGAUAGAGGGUGGUAAAAUUUCGUGUGUAGCGGAGAAAUGCAUAGAGAUCUGAGAGAAUACCUAUGGCAAGCGCACCCAUCUGUCUCAACUCUGACUCUCAUGUACGAAAGCGUGGAGAGCAAACAAGAUUAUAUCCCGUGGUACACA